rnacentral:rRNA from 1 species
GACGAACCGAGCGCACGUUGUUCGGAAUCACUGGGCUUAAAGGGCGCGUAGGCGGGUGCUCAAGUCCGUGGUGAAAUCCUCCGGCUCAACCGGAGAACUGCCUCGGAUACUGGGCGUCUCGAGUGUGGUAGGGGUAUGCGGAACUAUCGGUGGAGCGGUGAAAUGCGUUGAUAUCGAUAGGAACUCCGGUGGCGAAGGCGGCAUACUGGACCACCACUGACGCUGAUGCGCGAAAGCCGGGGGAGCAAACGGG